rnacentral:rRNA from 1 species
UCCGUAGGUGAACCUGCGGAAGGGUCAUUACAGAAAGUAAACGCGGAUCGAACCACGAACUUCUAAACCUUUGACGAUUGACUCAUGUUGCCUCGGCGGGUUCUCCCGCCAGAGGAUACAUCAAAACUCCUUUUUUAACGGUGUUGUCUGAGCUACAAGCAACGAAUCAAAACUUUCAACAACGGAUCUCUUGGUUCUGGCAUCGAUGAAGAACGCAGCGAAAUGCGAUAAGUAGUGUGAAUUGCAGAAUUCAGUGAAUCAUCGAAUCUUUGAACGCACAUUGCGCCCCUUGGUAUCCCGAGGGGCAUGCCUGUUCGAGCGUCAUUUCACCACUCAAGCCUGGCUUGGUGUUGGGCGACGUCCCCUUUAGGGACGCGCCUCGAAACGCUCGGCGGCGUGGCACCGGCUUUAAGCGUAGCAGAAUCUUUCGCUUUAAAAGUCGGGGCCCCGUCUGCCGGAAGACCUACUCGCAAGGUUGACCUCGGAUCAGGCAGGGAUACCCGCUGAACUUAAGCAUAUCAAUAAGUGGAGGAAAAGAAACCAACC